GAUGAACGUUGGCGGUGUGCCUAAUACAUGCAAGUCGAACGGUGAUCUUAUGGGAGCUUGCUUCCAUUUGAUUAUAGUGGCGAACGGGUGAGUAACGCGUUGGUGAUCUGCCUCGAAGUGUGGAAUAACGUUCCGAAAGGGACGCUAAUACCGCAUGUGCUCAAGAUUUUUAGAAAGUUUUGAGUAAAGGAUUUAUUCGCUUCGAGAGGAGCCUGCGUCCCAUCAGCUAGUUGGUAAGGUAACGGCUUACCAAGGCUAUGACGGGUAGGGGACCUGAGAGGGUGGCCCCCCACAAUGGAACUGAAACACGGUCCAUACACCUACGGGUGGCAGCAGUAGGGAAUAUUAGAAAUGGGCGAAAGCCUGAUCUAGCGACACCGCGUGUGCGAUGAAGGCCUUCGGGUUGUAAAGCACUUUUUGGAAGGAAUAGGAAGGAAGGUACUUCCAGAAUAAGUCUCGGCUAACUACGUG
rnacentral:rRNA from 1 species